rnacentral:rRNA from 1 species
ACGAGGCACUACGGUGCUGAAGUAACAAAUGCCCUGCUUCCAGGAAAAGCCUCUAAGCAUCAGGUAACACGAAAUCGUACCCCAAACCGACACAGGUGGUCAGGUAGAGAAUACCAAGGCGCUUGAGAGAACUCGGGUGAAGGAACUAGGCAAAAUGGUGCCGUAACUUCGGGAGAAGGCACGCUGAUAUGUAGGUGAAGUGAUUUACUCAUGGAGCUGAAAUCAGUCGAAGAUACCAGCUGGCUGCAACUGUUUAUUAAAAACACAGCACUGUGCAAACACGAAAGUGGACGUAUACGGUGUGACGCCUGCCCGGUGCCGGAAGGUUAAUUGAUGGGGUUAUCCGUAAGGAGAAGCUCUUGAUCGAAGCCCCGGUAAACGGCGGCCGUAACUAUAACGGUCCUAAGGUAGCGAAAUUCCUUGUCGGGUAAGUUCCGACCUGCACGAAUGGCGUAAUGAUGGCCAGGCUGUCUCCACCCGAGACUCAGUGAAAUUGAACUCGCUGUGAAGAUGCAGUGUACCCGCGGCAAGACGGAAAGACCCCGUGAACCUUUACUAUAGCUUGACACUGAACACUGGUCCUUGAUGUGUAGGAUAGGUGGGAGGCUUUGAAGUGUGGACGCCAGUCUGCAUGGAGCCAUCCUUGAAAUACCACCCUUUAAUGGCUGGUGUUCUAACGUGGACCCGUUACCCGGGUUGCGGACAGUGUCUGGUGGGUAGUUUGACUGGGGCGGUCUCCUCCUAAAGAGUAACGGAGGAGCACGAAGGUUAGCUAAUCCUGGUCGGACAUCAGGAGGUUAGUGCAAAGGCAUAAGCUAGCUUGACUGCGAGAGUGACGGCUCGAGCAGGUGCGAAAGCAGGUCUUAGUGAUCCGGUGGUUCUGAAUGGAAGGGCCAUCGCUCAACGGAUAAAAGGUACUCCGGGGAUAACAGGCUGAUACCGCCCAAGAGUUCAUAUCGACGGCGGUGUUUGGCACCUCGAUGUCGGCUCAUCACAUCCUGGGGCUGAAGUAGGUCCCAAGGGUAUGGCUGUUCGCCAUUUAAAGUGGUACGCGAGCUGGGUUUAGAACGUCGUGAGACAGUUCGGUCCCUAUCUGCCGUGGGCGCUGGAGAAUUGAGGGGGGCUGCUCCUAGUACGAGAGGACCGGAGUGGACGCAUCACUGGUGUUCGGGUUGUCAUGCCAAUGGCAUUGCCCGGUAGCUAAAUGCGGAAGAGAUAAGUGCUGAAAGCAUCUAAGCACGAAACUUGCCCCG